rnacentral:rRNA from 3 species
UAGUGAUCCGGUGGUUCUGAAUGGAAGGGCCAUCGCUCAACGGAUAAAAGGUACUCCGGGGAUAACAGGCUGAUACCGCCCAAGAGUUCAUAUCGACGGCGGUGUUUGGCACCUCGAUGUCGGCUCAUCACAUCCUGGGGCUGAAGUAGGUCCCAAGGGUAUGGCUGUUCGCCAUUUAAAGUGGUACGCGAGCUGGGUUUAGAACGUCGUGAGACAGUUCGGUCCCUAUCUGCCGUGGGCGCUGGAGAACUGAGGGGGGCUGCUCCUAGUACGAGAGGACCGGAGUGGACGCAUCACUGGUGUUCGGGUUGUCAUGCCAAUGGCACUGCCCGGUAGCUAAAUGCGGAAGAGAUAAGUGCUGAAAGCAUCUAAGCACGAAACUUGCCCCGAGAUGAGUUCUCCCUGAGACUUAGAGUCUCCUGAAGGAACGUUGAAGACGACGACGUUGAUAGGCCGGGUGUGUAAGCGCAGCGAUGCGUUGAGCUAACCGGUACUAAUGAACCGUGAGGCUUAACCUUACAACGCCGAAG